AUUGAACGCUGGCGGCAGGCUUAACACAUGCAAGUCGAACGAGUGGCGGACGGGUGAGUAAUGCUUGGGAAUCUAGCUUAUGGCGGGGGAUAACUCCGGGAAACUGUAGCUAAUACCGCGUACCAUCGGAUGAACCCAUAUGGGAUUAGCUUGUAGGUGAGGUAACGGCUCACCUAGGCGACGAUCCCUAGCUGGUCUGAGAGGAUGAUCAGCCACACUGGGACUGAGACACGGCCCAGACUCCUACGGGAGGCAGCAGUGGGGAAUAUUGCGCAAUGGGGGAAAGCUGACGCAGCAAUGCCGCGUGAAUGAAGAAGGCCUUCGGGUGGUAAAGUUCUUUCGGUAGCGAGGCGUUAACUACAGAAGAAGCACCGGCUAACUCCGUGCCAGCCGCCGCGGUAAUAC
rnacentral:rRNA from 1 species